UGGGUGGAGAUUUCCUUCCUAGUUUCUUCUCCUGAAAAGUUUCAUCUCAAGCUCCAGCUUGAGAAAUGGAUUGAAUCUUGACCUCUUGCAUAAACAUUGUCUCUGCAUGCCAAAGGGAAUCUUAGUGAGAACCAGAGCCUCUGUCCAGACAUGUUUCUUCAUCAUAUAACUCUGAUAGGAUAGCAACAGGGAAGGUAACAAAAAGGCUCACAAUGGACAGAAUUCCGUUUAGGAACAAGACAAAAAUGCAAUGGAUCUGCAGUGAAUCUAGGAGACAAUGAAGCAAUAUGGGGUCCAAACGCAUCCUCUUCGGAGAUUCUCACAGUAGCUGUGAUAUCCACUCUGAUCACUUACACUCAUUGUUCUCUUACUGCACGUUUCAGGACAGUAAGUAUUUUGCUUAUACUUAAGGAAAC